rfam:Sphaerobolus stellatus SS14 unplaced genomic scaffold SPHSTscaffold_138, whole genome shotgun sequence.
GCCUUGCUAGCUCAAUCGGUAGAGCGUGAGACUUUUACGGCUAAAGUAAGCCUGUCAAAGUAUGAUCUCAAGGUUGCGGGUUCGACCCCCGCGUGAGGCU